CGUUUUGCAGAUUACCUAAA
rnacentral:snRNA from 1 species